GUACGUGGCCCUGAUCCUCACAUCCUCCACCUGCACCGUCAAACCCUGACAGACAGAACAGAGGAAAUACUUUGUUGUUGUUUUCCAGGAGAAAAACUGGCUUCAGCCUCCUGAUAGGCAUCAACCUUUUCUCCCCUCGACCACUCUCCUCCUCAUAAGCCUCUUGCAUACAUCACGCUGAAGACAGCUCCAGCUUUAGACUCGGGUUUCCUUUUGUUGUUCAGCAGAGAACGUGAGCAGCUGAAAUCCUUGAAGAAAACUUCAUCUCCCUUCCGAAAGAUGAACUGAACGAGACUCGUCAUCUGUUUAUGAUCCCGUGUGGGGUUCUGCAAGCAGCAGGGUGAAAUUCAUUUAUCUGAAAAUUGCUUGUUUACUUCACCUGCGUUGGUUUGUGAACAAUAAAAAGAGGUACAAAUAAAAGCUCACGUGAGAAA